AGCGAGGUGGCGGAGGGUUAAGGCGAUGGACUGCUAAUCCAUUGAUCUUUGCACGCGUGGGGUUCGAGUCCCAUCCUCGUCG
rnacentral:tRNA from 1 species